ACGAGUUCAUGCCCUUCGGGGUAGACCUCCCACCCUUGUGUAUUUAUACCUUUGUUGCUUUGGCAGGCCGCUGGCUCUGCCAGCUACCGGCUUCGGCUGGUGAGUGCUUGCCAGAGGAAUCCAAACUCUGAAUGUUAAUGUCGUCUGAGUACUAUAUAAUAGUUA
rnacentral:misc_RNA from 1 species